rnacentral:pre_miRNA from 1 species
GGGAGGAACAACCCCAGUGGCGGGGCCAGCUCUGGAGCCCUGGAUUCAGCCCCCGUAGGAACUCCGGAGCUCUCCGUCUGCAGGGCCUGGAGGCUCCGGGGCGGG